rnacentral:rRNA from 1 species
AUUGAACGCUGGCGGCAUGCUUUACACAUGCAAGUCGAACGGUAACAGGCCUUCGGGUGCUGACGAGUCGCGAACGGGUGAGUAAUGCAUCGGAACGUACCCAGAGGUGGGGGAUAACGCAGCGAAAGCUGUGCUAAUACCGCAUGUGAUCUGAGGAUGAAAGCGGGGGACCGAGCAGCAAUGUUUGGCCUCGCGCCUUUGGAGCGGCCGAUGUCGGAUUAGCUAGUUGGUGGGGUAAAGGCCUACCAAGGCGACGAUCCGUAGCUGGUCUGAGAGGACGACCAGCCACACUGGGACUGAGACACGGCCCAGACUCCUACGGGAGGCAGAAGUGGGGAAUUUUGGACAAUGGGCGCAAGCCUGAUCCAGCAAUGCCGCGUGCGGGAAGAAGGCCUUCGGGUUGUAAACCGCUUUUGGCAGGAACGAAACGGUGUCCGCUAAUACCGGGCGCUAAUGACGGUACCUGCAGAAUAAGCACCGGCUAACUACGUG